rnacentral:other from 1 species
AAUCCCCUACUUGAGUUGGUGAUAUCCUUUAUCGGUUUUGAGCCAACACCGAGACAUAGGGAGCUUGGCUAUCAUCAAUGUUGUGAAUGCCUCUCUUAAGUAAGAGGAAUCCUGAAGUUGAUGAUGCAGUUCCCAACCUGCAUAAAGCGGGUUCAAACGCGAAGGAUACACGGCUAAGUGGGGGUUUU